GGUCAGUUUGUAGGUGAGGGGUAUGUAGAAAUCGUGCGAAAAUGGGUGAAACUCGUGGGGGGGCAAUCUCGCUCGGGCGAACUAGCCGUUUUGCUCGUUGCAGCGCAUGCGCUGUGCUGUCUUUGAAUGUGUGCGUGCGUAAAAGCGAGCGAAACGCCGCUGUGUCAAAAAAUGUGUAAACAAACUCAGUUGGAGUUCAGAAAAUCUUACUUAUUACCGAUAUGUGCAGUGCCGUGGAAAAACAAAAAUUGCUUCAAAAAAGCUGUGUGUGGCUGAUACUCCAGCAUCUUCCCAAUAUGUGUGUAAACAACGCCAAGAGUAUUACUGUUUUGUGAUCAUCAUAUUUCAUUCGAAUUGCACAUUACCGGGCAGAAAAAGCUUCAAGCAACCAAUUUUGUUUCGGCUGUCUUCUUUCUUGCACGGCUAGGUCAACAUAUAUUAUACAUAUCGAAGAGGUUUUAGUCAGUGUUUAAUUUAUCACAGCUUGUGUUACUUUCGUAUCACAUUUUUUGUCAUAAUUUUAUAUGACAGCAGUCUUUCACGUGGCCGGAUCGAACAACGUAUCCCAUUUGGAUCGUUUUGCUAUACGCAGGACGCAGCUACGAAUAAAGUUAAGAUAGUCAGAAUUAAAUAUAUACACUACUUAAACCUAUGUUUGGUAAAUAUGAAAAAGGC